rnacentral:rRNA from 1 species
CAUCAGGAGGUUAGUGCAAUGGCAUAAGCCAGCUUGACUGCGAGCGUGACGGCGCGAGCAGGUGCGAAAGCAGGUCAUAGUGAUCCGGUGGUUCUGAAUGGAAGGGCCAUCGCUCAACGGAUAAAAGGUACUCCGGGGAUAACAGGCUGAUACCGCCCAAGAGUUCAUAUCGACGGCGGUGUUUGGCACCUCGAUGUCGGCUCAUCACAUCCUGGGGCUGAAGUAGGUCCCAAGGGUAUGGCUGUUCGCCAUUUAAAGUGGUACGCGAGCUGGGUUUAGAACGUCGUGAGACAGUUCGGUCCCUAUCUGCCGUGGGCGCUGGAGAACUGAGGGGGGCUGCUCCUAGUACGAGAGGACCGGAGUGGACGCAUCACUGGUGUUCGGGUUGUCAUGCCAAUGGCACUGCCCGGUAGCUAAAUGCGGAAGAGAUAAGUGCUGAAAGCAUCUAAGCACGAAACUUGCCCCGAGAUGAGUUCUCCCUGAGACUUAGAGUCUCCUGAAGGAACGUUGAAGACGACGACGUUGAUAGGCCGGGUGUGUAAGCGCAGCGAUGCGUUGAGCUAACCGGUACUAAUGAACCGUGAGGCUUAACCUUACAACGCCGAAG